CGCCUACGGGACGCAGCAGUGAGGAAUAUUGGUCAAUGGGCGGGAGCCUGAACCAGCCAAGUCGCGUGAGGGAAGACGGUCCUACGGAUUGUAAACCUCUUUUGCCGGGGAGCAACGGGGUCCUUGCGAGGGCCCGAUGAGAGUACCCGGAGAAAAAGCAUCGGCUAACUCCGUGCCAGCAGCCGCGGUAAUACGUAGGAUCCGAGCAUUAUCCGGAGUGACUGGGUGUAAAGAGUUGCGUAGGUGGCAUAAUAAGUAGCUAGUGAAAUCUGGUGGCUCAACCAUUCAGACUAUUAGCUAAACUG
rnacentral:rRNA from 1 species